rnacentral:lncRNA from 1 species
GGUCAACCCACAGGACGCACUCUCAAGGCUGUUGCUGCAGUGUGUGGAUGUUUGUCGCCCAGCCUCUCUUGGAGACACCAGGUCAGCGAACCGUGACACACAGGGACCUGAUGAGUCUCCCAAAUAUAAGGACAGGAAAGAGGUCAGAUCAGGGGAGAGACUCCAGCUCUGUGAUAUUCUAGAACUGCCCAGGUAAUGAACACUUGCAUCAAUUAGGAUGACAGUGGCUUACAGCGAAUGGGGGAUGGAGACAGGAGAACUGGUCAAAAGCUUGCCUGCCAGAGAACUGGGCAACAGAAGAGAGAUCCUGCCUCAGUAUGGUGGAGCCCUCGCCAUAGCCAGAAGCAGGAAGGUGGUCAUUGCUGGGAUCUUCUUGCUCAUUCGAAGCCCCUGUCCAGCCCCUGCUGUCCCUCCGGCUCUGACCUUGACAGUCACACAUCCAG